ACUUUACAUGGGUCGGAGUAUAAAAAGGGUAGACUAGUUCGCUUGAAUUCAUCACAAGUUCUUCAAAUAUUUAAAAAAUCACUUUAGGCUUAGCGUCCAAGGCAGUAGCAGCCAAACCACUAGCAGCAAUGGUUCCCCAAAAAAUGUCUUCCGUUUCCCUUUUCCUGGUGGUCGUUUCGCUCUUCGUUCUUAUUAACUUCACUGAUUUCGCUUACUCGCAAAAAGACGGGGCUGCCAAAGACGGGGUUAAGAAUUAUGCAGACUGCGAUUAUGGAUUUGCAAUAGAUAGAGAUGAUACCUGUUCGGGUCUUGCCCAAAAAUGUGGCGUUAGCCUGCAAACACUUUUCCAACACAACAGAAAACUACAAUGGGGAAAUAACUGCGGUCCUAGAUACGGCAGUGGAUUUGUUUGCUGCACUAACUGGAGUAGAGGACGCAAAUAAAGACAAAUUCACAAACAAUAACGAAAAUCAUUUUGGCUUUAUCACUUUAUGAAAUUGAAUGUAAAAUCACUCUCUCCUUAUAUCAUUAUUGAUUGGCCUUCUUUUGCACUUGACAUUAGAUAAUACAUAUUCAUCCUUGUGUUGAAUUUUCCCAAUU